rnacentral:rRNA from 1 species
UACGUAGGGGGCUAGCGUUGCUCGGAAUCACUGGGCGUAAAGCGCACGUAGGCGGGUCUUUAAGUCAGGGGUGAAAUCCUGGAGCUCAACUCCAGAACUGCCUUUGAUACUGAGGAUCUCGAGUCCGGGAGAGGUGAGUGGAACUCCGAGUGUAGAGGUGAAAUUCGUAGAUAUUCGGAAGAACACCAGUGGCGAAGGCGGCUCACUGGCCCGGUACUGACGCUGAGGUGCGAAAGCGUGGGGAGCAAACAGG